rnacentral:rRNA from 6 species
UCAAAACGGAGAGUUUGAUCCUGGCUCAGGAUGAACGCUGGCGGUAUGCUUAACACAUGCAAGUCGAACGGAAUCUUC